rnacentral:snoRNA from 1 species
AACGCAAAAUUCACAGCCAUUCGUAACACAUACAGUAUUUCAUCGAGGUUGAACCCCUCCGGGGCGUUCUUGACCCAUGACGAUAGAGAUUGUGCUACUGGAUUAUCCAUUUUAGCUUGGACUGGAGAAAAAAGUUAAAGAUCUUGGGUGCAACAGCUCAUGCGUGUUUGUUUACAAACCUAAGGGUAAGCCUUUGUGCCCCCGGAUGGGAGCCGUUGCAAGGAUCGUUAAUACAUUA